rnacentral:rRNA from 1 species
AUACGUAUGUCGCAAGCGUUAUCCGGAAUUAUUGGGCGUAAAGCGAGUCUAGGCGGCUUGUUAAGUCAGAUGUGAAAAUGCGGGGCUCAACUCCGUAUUGCGUUUGAAACUGGCAGGCUAGAGUACUGGAGAGGUGGGCGGAACUACAAGUGUAGAGGUGAAAUUCGUAGAUAUUUGUAUGAAUGCCGAUAGUGAAGACGGCUCACUGGACAGAUACUGACGCUAAAGCUCGAAAGCGUGGGGAGCGAACAGGAUUAGAAACCCCAGUAGUCC